rnacentral:misc_RNA from 1 species
GAUGAAGAACGCAGCGAAAUGCGAUACUUGGUGUGAAUUGCAGAAUCCCGUGAACCAUCGAGUCUUUGAACGCAAGUUGCGCCCGAAGCCAUUAGGCCGAGGGCACGCCUGCCUGGGCGUCACACGUCGUUGCCCCCCCAUCUACUCCUUCGGGAUUGCGGGGGGGCGGAUGAUGGCCUCCCGUGCGCCUAGCCGCGCGGUUGGCAUAAAUACCAAGUCCUCGGCGACGCACGCCACGACAAUCGGUGGUUGCGAAACCUCGGUUGCCCGUCGUGUGCGUUCGUCGCGCAUCGAGGGCUCGAAAAAAUGCUCGGCUCCGGCUGGGCUUUCAACGCUACCCCAGGUCAGGCGGGGUUACCCGCUGAAUUUAAGCAUAUCAAUAAGCGGAGGA